ACUCAAAUAGCUUAAAUUUAAAGCGAAGUAUUGAAGAUACUUAUAUAAGAUAAUCUUUUUGGGUA
rnacentral:tRNA from 1 species